rnacentral:rRNA from 1 species
AUUGAACGCUGGCGGCGUGCCUAAUACAUGCAAGUCGAACGAAGUGGCGCACGGGUGAGUAAUAUAUAGUUAAUCUGCCCUACACAGAGGAACAACCGGUGGAAACGACUGCUACUACCUCAUAGUGUAGGAUGGGACUAUAACGUAUCAGCUAGUUGGUAAGGUAAUGGCUUACACAGGCUAUGACGCGUAACUGGUCUGAGAGGAUGAUCAGUCACCUUGGAACUGAGACACGGUCCAAAUUCCUACGGGAGGCAGCAGUAAGGAAUAAUGCGCAAUGGGGGAAUCCCUGACGCAGCAACGCCGCGUGGAGGAUGACACUUUUCGGAGCGUAACCUCCUUUUAUCAGGAAAGCGGUACCUGAUGAAUAAGCACCGGCUAACUCCGUGCCAGCCGCCGCGGUAAUAC